GACGAACGCUGGCGGCGUGCCUAAUACAUGCAAGUCGAACGCUGAAGGAGGAGCUUGCUCUUCUGGAUGAGUUGCGAACGGGUGAGUAACGCGUAGGUAACCUGCCUGGUAGCGGGGGAUAACUAUUGGAAACGAUAGCUAAUACCGCAUAAGAGUAGAUGUUGCAUGACAUUUACUUAAAAGGUGCAAUUGCAUCACUACCAGAUGGACCUGCGUUGUAUUAGCUAGGUGGUGGGGUAACGGCUUACCAAGGCGACGAUACAUAGCCGACCUGAGAGGGUGAGCGGCCACACUGGGACGGAGACACGGCCCAGACGCCUACGGGAGGCAGCAGUAGGGAAUCUUCGGCAAUGGACGGAAGUCUGACCGAGCAACGCCGCGUGAGUGAAGAAGGUUGUCGGAUCGGAAAGCUCGGUUGUAGGAGAAGAACGAGUGUGAGAGUGGAAAGUUCACACUGUGACGGUAUCUGACCAGAAAGGGACGGCUAACUACGUG
rnacentral:rRNA from 1 species